rnacentral:rRNA from 1 species
UAGUGAUUUACGGAGAAGGAACUCGGCAAAAUGACCCCGUAACUUCGGGAUAAGGGGUGCCGGCAGUAUGUGACCCGUCAAGGGGAGCAGAGACCGGCCGCAGUGAAUCGUCCCAAGCGACUGUUUAGCAAAAACACAGGUGUCUGCAAAGGCGUUUUCCAAGCCGACGUAUAGACACUGACGCCUGCCCGGUGCCGGAAGGUUAAGGUAAGUGGUCAGCCGCAAGGCGAAGCUACGAACCGAAGCCCCGGUAAACGGCGGCCGUAACAAUAACGGUCCUAAGGUAGCGAAAUUCCUUGUCGGGUAAGUUCCGACCUGCAUGAAUGGCGUAACGACUUGGGAGCUGUCUCCUCCGUAAGCUCGGCGAAAUAGCAGCAUCGGUGAGGAUUCCGAUUACCCGCGACAGGACAAAAAGACCCCAUGCACCUUUACUACAACCUGUCAUUGAUCGUCGAUAUACACUGCGUAGCAUAGGUGGGAGCCGUUGAGACCCGGUUUUCGGAUCGGGUGGAGGCAACAGUGAAAUACCACCCUUUGUUUAUUAACGAUCUCACUCGGCCGGCAACACCGGCGAGGACCGUGGCUGGUGGGUAGUUUGACUGGGGCGGUCGCCUCCCAAAAAGUACCGGAGGCGCGCGAUGGUGGGCUCAGUGCGGUCGGUAAUCGCACGUUGAGUGUAUACGCAAAAGCCCGCCUGACUGCGAGCGCGACGGCGCGAGCAGGGACGAAAGUCGGCGUAAGUGAUCCGGUGAUCCCGUAUGGAUGGGUCAUCGCUCAUCGGAUAAAAGGUACGCUGGGGAUAACAGGCUUAUCGCGCCCGAGAGUUCACAUCGACGGCGCGGUUUGGCACCUCGAUGUCGGCUUGUCACAUCCUGGGGCUGGAGAAGGUCCCAAGGGUCCGGCUGUUCGCCGGUUAAAGUGGCACAUGAGCUGGGUUCAGAACGUCGUGAGACAGUUCGGUCUGUAUCCGUCGUGGGCGUGGGAACGUUGAGGGAUCAGGACUCUAGUACGAGAGGACCGAGUCGUAGUGACCUCCCGUGUACGGGCUGUCCCGCCAGGGGCAGCGCCCGGUAGCGAUGUCACGCAGGGAUAACCGCUGAAAGCAUCUAAGUGGGAAACCCGUCCCAAGAUGAACGUUCCUGGAGCUUAAGCUCCCUUAAGGGCCCUGGGAGACCACCAGGUUGAUAGGCCGCAGGUGUACGGCGCGCGAGCGCUUCAGCCGAGCGGUACUAAUCGCCCGUGAAGUUUGAUCUC